AUUGAACGCUGGCGGCAGGCCUAACACAUGCAAGUCGAACGAGUGGCGGACGGGUGAGUAAUGUCUGGGACACUGCCUGAUUGAGGGGGAUAACUACUGGAAACGGUAGCUACUACCGCAUACCAUCAGAUGUGCCCAUAUGGGAUUCGCUAGUUGGUGGGGUAAAGGCUCACCAAUGCGACGAUCCCUAGCGGGUCUGAGAGGAUGACCAGCCAAAUGGGAACUGAGACACGGUCCAGACUCCUACGGGAGGCAGCAGUGGGGAAUAUUGCACAAUGGGCGCAAGCCUGAUGCAGCCAGGCCGCGUGUAUGAAGAAGGCCUUCGGGUUGUAAAGUACUUUCAGCGGGGAGGCGUUACCCGAAGAAGAAGCACCGGCUAACUCCGUGCCAGCAGCCGCGGUAAUUC
rnacentral:rRNA from 1 species